rnacentral:rRNA from 1 species
UACGAGAGGCCCAAACGUUAUUCGGAUUUACUGGGCUUAAAGAGUUCGUAGGCGGCUUGGCAAGUGGGGUGUGAAAGCCCUCGGCUUAACCGAGGAAUUGCGCUCCAAACUACCGAGCUUGAGGAGGCUAGAGGUGAGCAGAACUGAUGGUGGAGCGGUGAAAUGCGUUGAUAUCAUCAGGAAUACCGGAGGCGAAGGCGGCUCACUGGGACCUUUCUGACGCUGAGGAACGAAAGCUAGGGGAGCAAACGGG